rnacentral:rRNA from 1 species
AAAAGUACGUGAAACCGUUUAGGGGUAAACGGAAAAGAACUAAAAAUCCGAAAAGGGAGAUUCACGUCUUCUCAUAUGUUAAUUAUAAUAUUUUUUAAGGAUAAUUAAUAAUCUAUUACUUUUGUAUUAGUAUUAUUUAUUGCCUUUAUUUAUUAUAAAUAGCAAUGGUAGACCGCACUUCUCUCUUAGUAGGACGUUCCCGCACUCCCGGGGCGUCUAUUACUCAUNGCGAGUAAAGGCGCACCUAGAGCGUACACGUNGGGACCCGAAAGAUGGUGAACUAUGCCUGGCCAGGAUGAAGCCAGGGGAAACCCUGGUGNGGGUUCCGUAGCGAUNCUGACGUGCNAAUCGAUCGUCAGAGCUAGGUAUAGGGGCGAUAGACUUAUCGAACUAUCUAGUAGCUGGUUCCUUCCGAAGUUUCCCUCAGGAUAGCUGGUGCCNAUGAUGAUUAGAGUCUCAUCUGGUAAAGCGAAUGAUUAGAGGCCUUGGGGCCGAAACGAC